UUAAAGGGAAACACACCUGUUCCCGGAGC
rnacentral:piRNA from 1 species